ACAGUCAUGAUGGAAUAAUGGUAGACAUAUCGGUACUUAAUGUGCCGAAGUCCGAGAGGACGUAUAGGUUCGAAUCUUGUUGACUGUA
rnacentral:tRNA from 1 species